GCCGGAGUGGCGGAAUAGGUAGACGCACAGGACUUAAAAUCCUGCGAUUUUCAAAGAUCGUACCGGUUCGAUUCCGGUUUCCGGCA
rnacentral:tRNA from 1 species